rnacentral:lncRNA from 1 species
UCCACUACAUAAUCAUUCAUUAUCUUUACAAUUAACCAUCUAAAGCUACCACGGUUUUUCAGUCAAAGUACAUAUCUACAUAUAUAUAGAGAAUACAUUUCAUAAUUUCAUCCCUUGUCUUCCGUAAAAGUAGCAUGAAAAUUUGAUACCCAGUAUUAUAAGGCAGGUCGUAGAAGCAGCCUUCCUGCACAUAUUUAAAAAUAAUAGCAAGUCAGGAAAAAAAUAGAGGGUCGUGCAAGAGUUUAACUCCAUUAGACAUAAGUCAACUACUUCAUGUCACAACAUGGAUCCGUCUUCUUCAGUCUGUUCCAUGCAAAUCAUAUCAUUGUUUGAACUAGUGUAAUUGGGACUGGUAAGUAUGGACUUAUGCUUGAUGUUGUUUAAGCCAUGCUAAAAGAUUGCACCUUCUCAUUGUGACUAGUUGAUUAAUAUUCAAGAUUUAUGUUUUGAUAAAACAAAACUAAAGUAACAUAAAAGAGCUGCUAUACUGUUAAUAUUAGGGUAGCCAGUGAUUACUAAUCAAUAGGGACAACCUCAUUAAAGUGUUACUAAGUAUGUGAAAUCAAAGAGUCUUACAAAUUUUCCAAAGUUAAUGAUAAUGAGAUUUCAGUUAGCAUGAUCUGUGUUACCAUAUGAACUGUUGUGAUGUUAAAUGGACUGCUAUGCUAUUAAUGUGGACUGCUAUAUGCUAAAAGAUUAAGCUAAGUAUACAGUUAGAAUUUAUGACUAGAAUAUCAAGAUAAAUAAUCAAGUAAAGUCAGCUAUGCUUGUAAACUAUGUGGUUUGGUAUAUUAUGUAUAACCUAGAUGUAUGCUAGCCUAUAUAUGAAUUAAGCAAUUAAUUAAGACUUAGCCACUAUUUUAAAAACCUUGUAUGCUAGACUAGAGGCUUGAUAAGGACUGAUAUGGUGUAAGCUAUUCAAUACAAGUCAAAUAUAUGUUAUGUAUGAUAAAUAUCAUAUAAAAAGAUAGUAUAAGCCUUUAUAUUGCACUUUCAUGCUAUCCUCAUAAACAUAGGGGUAAACCAUGUUUGUUUUUGAAAAUUAAAUCCUAAAGAGGGCUGUGUUGGCCUAAAAGCAUAAAGACCUUGACUUAGAUGCUUUAAAACAUGAAAAGAUGGUAGAUAGAGGAUAUAUGUGUAAGUAAGGCAAAUUUGGGCCUGUUUUGGGACAUGGCUCAAAACAGCCCCUAGCUACCUAUAACUUCAAAGUCAUGAUUGGAUUUGGUUGUAUUACUAUCUAAUAAAAACUGUGUUGUAAGAAUCCCUUGAUAGCUAAGAAUUAUCAAAAUUGGAACUAUGUAUGCAUAUAUCUUUUAAUGACUACAUAUGCUAAAGUGCUCACCUUAACUAAGCUAAAGAUUGUUUCUAGUUAUCAUGCUAUGAGUUCUGAACCUUGAUUUUGUAAAGUAAUAACACCAUUGUUUACUAAGUUGUAUGCCAAGAAUUGAAAUUGUUAGGUUGAGUGCUUAUACUUAUAAUUGUAAUAAGUGAUUGCUUAUGCUUAUGAUUAUAUGACAUAUUGCUAUGCCUAGAACUGUUAUGGACUGGGACAGUAUGCUUGUGACUGGAAUGAGCAUAAAUGACUGUUAGAAGGACUUUAGUUGCUAUACUAACUGUUAUUACAUUAUAUGAACUGUUAUGUGUUGCUUUACUAACUGUUGUAGUAUUAAAAUUCACUGCUAUGCUAUAUUGCUAUGCUGACUGACUGCUAGCAUUACUUGUGUGACCUUGCUAACUGUCAUGAUAUUAUGAGGACUGCAUUGAUGACUAAAUAUUGCUCUAUUGAUGACUGAAGUUGAGUAGAGGAGAUAGGAUGGGCUGUGGAGAAAUAAGGAGGAUAAAAAUUGGUUGAUGAUAUGAACCAAUAGCAAUGAAACUAGUAAUAUAAAACUGAGCAUGGCACUUAUUUGUUAAAAGUCCCAAGUGGACUGUUUUGAUCAAAAAUCAAUUACUAGAUAGAAGCAAGGACUGGGGCAAAUGGGUAUGCUAUAUAAGAUUAUAAUUAGAGCAAAUAUGUAUGCUAGUUUGUAACGAAACUCACCUUUAAAAGCCAAAAUGGUAUGGAGUCAUUGGUGCAGCUGCUGCCCACAGUAGCAUCAGUCAUAUAUAGAAGCAGUUGAAGCUUUCCUUGAGCUCUACUUUGGCACAGUAUACUUAUGCAAUACUUUUCUACAAAAAGAAUAAAAAUAAGUUACGAAAUACCCAACACUUGAUAUAAGAGGGUCAUGAAAUGAAGGAAUAAAGUACAACAAAAACAGAGGGAUAAGAAAAAGAGCUGCUGCCCAUAGGCAGCAGCGUGUGCAGUCAGUCAGCGGUCAAGCCAGUUUGCGAAUAUAAUUCUAUGGCUUCAAAUGUUGAGUUAACUGAAAAUGAGUAUAUUAUCUAUAAAGUCUUGUAAUAGGUUGUAAUUAAGCUACCUUAUAUGAAGCUAGAAAUGCCCUGAGAUAUAGAGCACAGCUGCUGCCAUUGACAGCAGCACUUCGCUGCAAACAGCAGCAAGAAGUGUCUCAACAGCAGUUUGGCAAGUAGAGGACUGCUAAGGCAGUUUGGGCAGUCUGUCUUAACAAACUAACAUCGCUGUCUAGAGUUAACUAACAAGUAUAGAAAUAAAAGGAGAGUAGCAAGGGAUGCUGCUAUUGGCAGCAGUAAGUUACUGCAAAUAGCAUCACAUGACCUGCUACAACAGCACUUAGAAGCCCUCUUCAAUUUCUAAGUUCAUAUUACAAGCUUAACUAUAGGAAAUAGAUUGAAAUUGUUAAGGCAAGCAAGCUAAAGGGAAUAAGAAGUUAAGCAAGUUGUGGCUGCCAUGUUGUGGUUGGGGCCGCGAGGCCAAGUGUGGCCACACCAAGCUUAGCUAAGCCUCAUGGGGCUAAGCCAAGCUUGGUUGCUGGCAUAUCAGAACAACAAGGAACCAGUUGGUAUACCUAAUGAAAAGAUAUAAAAAAAGAUUAUUUUAACCUAAAAAAGGGGCUGUUUGGCAUAUUAUAGAAAAAUAAAGAUAAUCAAUGCCUUAGUAUGGAAAUAAAAACUAAUAAUCAUGGGAUAAACAAAAGUUGACCAUGCAAAUUGAAAAUACCUUUAAAAACAGGAAAUAAGCUACAAAAGCAUCUUGUAUGCUAGGAUUUCUAUAAACAAGACGAGGCACUCUUGUGUUAAAAUCCCAAUAAGAUGUAAGCAAAAUAUAUGUUGUGUGUACAUAUUAUAUUCAUGUCAAACACCAUUAAAAGAAAAAUGGUGACAAUAAAAGCAUGGAUGAGAUAUUUGAAAAAUGUAUUACAUAUAAGAAAUCUAUCCAUGACCACUGAAACUACGACUUGACUAUGUGACUAACAUGCUUGAUUAAUGCAAAUAAUGACUGUAAUAUGAUUUCUAUUACUUGUUGUAAGCAUGUCGAACCCCAUCAAAGUGAAAAAUGUCUAUUAUAGAAGCAUAUAUGAUAUAUUUCUAUUACUUCGUUCUAGUUUGAUUAGCUUCAAAAGGAGUAAUCCCAUCACUAUCGUGUUUAAAACGAUGCGAACAUCUCACACAAGUCCUAAUUUAGGGAGACCUUAUUGUUUCAUUAGUUCUCACAAAUUGUCAAAGAAAAAGGAGAUUAGAAGUCCUAUUACUUCGUUAUAAUUUGAUUAGCAUCAAAAGGAGCAAUCAUGUGAUAACCCAAAAAUUUAUAAGACUUGUAAAUAAGAUCUCGAAUAAUUAAAUAAAUGUUUAAAUAAUAAAACCUAGAUUUGAAAAUAGAGGAAUGAUUAAAAAACAAGAUCCCAACUUCUAAAUCACAGCACUCAACGUUCAGGGACCAGCAAGUAUGUUUACAUACAAGCUACAACACUCAGCCUCUUCUAUUAGUCAUUGGCUUGUAUAAAUUAAGGAGUCAGUUUGAAAUAAAUAUGAGUAGAAUAUUGCUAGGAAAAUAUUGUCUACACAAAGCGAUGUAGUGCUUCGUACUUACAAGUUACAAUACUACCAGUAAUCUCGGCAUGAGCAAGUUCCAUCCUUGAAAUGAUGGAACCUCUUUAUAUCUCUCAAUAAUCUCUCCCUCUGACUCAUCUUACUGAUAAACUUCAUCAAUGAAUGGCAAUCCCCACAUACUCUCAGGUUCUUCACAAUUCUAAUGGUAGUCCCAGGAGCAGUACUAAUAGAGCAAAGCCAAGUGCCAAUUUCUCACUAUGACUUCCCAAUGAUUCUUCCUUCUCUUCUUCUUCAAUGUUAUGAAGUAUCCACUCAGUUUCUGGCAUAUAGUCCUGUUCUCUCGCACUAGAUGUUAUUUCCUCUAAUUUCAUGUACGACUCUUCUUCAAGUGCAUGACUGUGAUCACCCGCCACAAACCUAUGUACUUGACCACCCACCUCAAUAUAACUCCACCCGGGUUCUUUCUCUAAACCUGUAUCCUUUAUUGAAGUUCUCACUCUUUCUACGUCUUUCCCAUCUCCCUACUCCAGCAUAUAUAUUUGAUAAAAACACAUAGCUCCCAGGAUGUUUGCUAAUACUGGUUUAAAACUACAAAAAUUAAAUAAAUUUUGAUGUGUAAAGCAGAAAAAGGAACUUUCAUCAAAAUUGGUUUAUUUAUAUGUAUAUAGUAUGUAUCUGGAAAAUAGUUGUUUAUAAGGAAUUAAGGAUAGACCCCUGACAUGCAAAGACUGUAGCUUUCUGCAAUAAAUUGUGCUUCAUAGCAUAACACCGUCAAUUUUCAGAAUCAUUAUAAUCAAAAUUGUAGCUGUCAUUGCAUAGUAACUGUCAAUUAAAAGGUCCAAGUUAACAACGCCAACAAAUUAAAAUCUCACAUUAUCCCAAUCCAUGGAAUUAUAUAAUAAAGAUCCCAAAAAAAAUUAACAAGAAAUCCAAGACUCCACCGUAGAUCAUCAAGGUCUAAAACAUGGCUCAAUGGAAAGCUCAGACUUGUGGCAAUUAUCAAACCAAAAUAAGAAACACCCACACUUCACAAUACCCAAGUAAGAAAAAAAAAUUCCAAAUUUAUGAAAGAAUCAAAAGAUUAACCACCUUAGAAAUCAUAAGCCUAACUCAAAAUGAUCGAAUAACCCGUAAAAGUGUUCUUGAAUCAAUAACAAGACAUCGUCUAAAUGAUCGAAUAACCUGUAAAAGGGUUCAAAUCAAAAUCAGAUGCAAGUAUCAAAGUAUGUAACAAGUAACAACUAACAAAAAAAACAUACCAAUUUUGAGACUCAAGAGGCCGUCGGCCGAGGCACGUUUGAGAGCCGAGAGGCGGAGGCCGGAGAGAGGCGACAGUCGAGACUCAAGAGGGCAGAGGCAAGUGGCAAGACUCGAGACUCAAGAGGCAAGAGUGAAAGACUGAAGAGAAGAGGCUGAGGAGCGGGCUAAGGGCUAUGGCAAAAUGGGAUCUGAAAUGGACUCGGUCAUAG